rnacentral:rRNA from 1 species
UANGCGGAGGAAAAGAAACUAACAAGGAUUCCCCUAGUANCUGCGAGUGAAGCGGGAAAAGCUCAAAUUUAAANUCUGGUGNUCUUUGNCCAUNCGAGUNGUAAUUUAGAGAAGCGUCUUCCGCGCUGGGCCGUGCACAAGUCUCCUGGAAUGGAGCGUCAUAGAGGGUGAGAAUCCCGUCUUUGGCAUGGAAUCCCAGGGCUUCUGUGAUGCGCUCUCGACGAGUCGAGUUGUUUGGGAAUGCAGCUCAAAAUGGGUGGUGAACUCCAUCUAAAGCUAAAUAUUGGCGAGAGACCGAUAGCGAACAAGUACCGUGAGGGAAAGAUGAAAAGCACUUUGGAAAGAGAGUGAAACAGUACGUGAAAUUGUUGAAAGGGAAACGCUUGAAGUCAGUCGCGUCGACCGAGACUCAGCCUUGCCUCGGCUUGGUGUACUUCUCGGCUAACGGGUCAGCAUCGAUUUCGAUCCUCGGAUAAUGGCAAGGGAAAGGUAGCACCUUUUUAGGUGUGUUAUAGUCCUCUGUCGCAUGCGAGGGUCGGGAUCGAGGAACUCAGCACGCACCUCAGGGUGUCGGGGCCUUGGCCCACGUUUACGUGCUUAGGAUGCUGGCGUAAUGGCUUUAAACGACC